rnacentral:tRNA from 1 species
UAGCUCAGAUGGUAAAGCGUCUGCCUACAAGGCAGGAGACCCAGGUUCGAUCCCUGG